rnacentral:rRNA from 1 species
AACGAACGCUGGCGGCAUGCCUAACACAUGCAAGUCGAACGAGACCUUCGGGUCUAGUGGCGCACGGGUGCGUAACGCGUGGGAACCUGCCCUUAGGUGCGGAAUAACUCCCCGAAAGGGGUGCUAAUACCGGAUAAUGUCUUCGGACCAAAGAUUUAUCGCCUUUGGAUGGGCCCGCGUUGGAUUAGCUAGUUGGUUGGGUAAAAGCCUACCAAGGCGACGAUCCAUAGCUGGUCUGAGAGGAUGAUCAGCCACACUGGGACUGAGACACGGCCCAGACUCCUACGGGAGGCAGCAGUGGGGAAUAUUGGACAAUGGGCGAAAGCCUGAUCCAGCAAUGCCGCGUGAGUGAUGAAGGCCUUAGGGAUGUAAAGCUCUUUUACCCGGGAUGAUAAUGACAGUACCGGGAGAAUAAGCUCCGGCUAACUCCGUG